rnacentral:rRNA from 1 species
GACGAACGCUGGCGGCGUGCUUAACACAUGCAAGUCGAACGGAAAGGCCCUGCUUUUGUGGGGUGUUCGAGUGGCGAACGGGUGAGUAACACGUGAGUAACCUGCCCUUGACUUUGGGAUAACUUCAGGAAACUGGGGCUAAUACCGGAUAGGAGCUCCUGCUGCAUGGUGGGGGUUGGAAAGUUUCGGCGGUUGGGGAUGGACUCGCGGCUUAUCAGCUUGUUGGUGGGGUAGUGGCUUACCAAGGCUUUGACGGGUAGCCGGCCUGAGAGGGUGACCGGCCACAUUGGGACUGAGAUACGGCCCAGACUCCUACGGGAGGCAGCAGUGGGGAAUAUUGCACAAUAGGCGGAAGCCUGAUGCAGCAACGCCGCGUGCGGGAUGACGGCCUUCGGGUUGUAAACCGCUUUCGCCUGUGACGAAGCGUGAGUGACGGUAAUGGGUAAAGAAGCACCGGCUAACUACGUG